rnacentral:tRNA from 1 species
GGAGAUGUAACUCAGAGGUAGAGGAUUUGCCUCACAUGCACAAGGUCUUGGGUUCAAUCCCCAGCACUGUGA